rnacentral:rRNA from 1 species
CCUACGGGGGGCAGCAGUGGGGAAUAUUGCACAAUGGGCGCAAGCCUGAUGCAGCCAUGCCGCGUGUGUGAAGAAGGCCUUCGGGUUGUAAAGCACUUUCAGCGGGGAGGAAGGCGUUAAGGUUAAUAACCUUGUCGAUUGACGUUACCCGCAGAAGAAGCACCGGCUAACUCCGUGCCAGCAGCCGCGGUAAUACGGAGGGUGCAAGCGUUAAUCGGAAUUACUGGGCGUAAAGCGCACGCAGGCGGUCUGUCAAGUCGGAUGUGAAAUCCCCGGGCUCAACCUGGGAACUGCAUUCGAAACUGGCAGGCUAGAGUCUUGUAGAGGGGGGUAGAAUUCCAGGUGUAGCGGUGAAAUGCGUAGAGAUCUAGAGGAAUACCGGUGGCGAAGGCGGCCCCCUGGACAAAGACUGACGCUCAGGUGCGAAAGCGUGGGGAGCAAACAGGAUUAGAUACCCGUGUAGUC